UUCAGUUUGUUGAAAAUUACAGCUAAGCAUGUAACAUCGUUUCUGGUUUCCAUCCGUUUGCUGAACUGUCGAAAUUACAAAAAAAAUCUGUUCGAACUUAAAAGCAGCCUGAAGGCUUAUUUCAUACUAAUGAUAGUAAUAGUUCUGUAAAUUUAUAACUCUUAUUAAUAUUAGCAUUAACAUUAACUAAGCAUUUCGCAAGACACUGUUGAGCACUUGCAAUUUACAAAAGGGGAACGGUCAUCAACAAAAACAGUUACAACUAUGAAUAUCUGAAAUGGAAAUGGAAUUGCACUCGGACACACUUCCUUGUACAGCCUUACAAUUUGCAUCGCAUUGUCGAUCGUUCCGAUCUUCGAUCCUCGUUGCCAAUUACGAGGAUGUCUCAUGUUCAGGUUGCCGGCAGUCGCAGUGGCAUUUUGAACCGGUUUCCUGGGUUUAUUCUCCUUUUUGUUUUUUGUAUGUGACGUGCCUUCUUGGGUAAUUUUUGCUUAAAGUUAUCGCAUAUUAACCCUUAAUUAAAAUACUUACAACUGAUUCCGAUGCUGGAUAAUAAAGACGUUGCUCACGAGUAGCAAAAACAGAAAA